rnacentral:rRNA from 1 species
AUUGAACGCUGGCGGCAGGCCUAACACAUGCAAGUCGAGCGAGCGGCGGACGGGUGAGUAAUGAAGGGGGACUGCCCGAUAGAGGGGGAUAACUACUGGAAACGGUGGCUAAUACCGCAUACGGUCGGCUAACCAAUAUGGGCUUAGCUAGUGGGUAAGGUACUGGCCUACCUAGGGGACAGUCCCUCGCGGGUCUGAGAGGAUGAUCAGCCACACUGGGACUGAGACACGGCCCAUACUCCUACGGAGGCAGCAGUGGGGAAUAUUGCACAAUGGGCGAAAUCCUGAUGCAGCCAUGCCGCGUGGAUGAAGAAGGCCCUAGGGUUGUAAAGUACUUGCAGUCGGGAGGCGUUACCGACAGAAGAAGCACCGGCUAACUCCGUGCCAGCAGCCGCGGUAAUAC